AUUGAACGCUGGCGGCGUGCCUAAUACAUGCAAGUCGAACGAGUGGCGGACGGGUGAGUAAUGUAUGGGGAUCUGCCCGAUAGAGGGGGGUAACUCCUGGAAAAGGUGGCUAAUACCGCAUACUAUCGGAUGAACCCAUAUGGGGUUAGCUAGUAGGUGGGGUAAAGGCUCACCUAGGCGACGAUCUCUAGCUGGCAUGAGAGUGUGAUCAGCCACACUGGUACUGAGACACGGCCCAGACUCCUACGGGAGGCAGCAGUUGGGAAUAUUGCACAACGGGGGCAAGCCUGAUGCAGCCAUGCCGCGUGUAUGAAGAAGGCCUUAGGGUUGUAAAGUACUUUCAGCGUGGAGGCGUUACCCGCAGAAGAAGCACCGGCUAACUCCGUGCCAGCAGCCGCGGUAAUUC
rnacentral:rRNA from 1 species